AUCGAUUCUCCCGCGGACAAACGUUUCGGGUUUCAGUCUCCUUCAAUUCUCAAAUCCUAAUGAGCCCUCCGGGAACUCCUAAAGCUCCAUUGAUAUCCUCGCGCUGUUCCCUCUCGGCGUCAAUGGCAUCACGCUCUCCUCCAUUCUCUCAAAUGAUCGAGUAGAUUCGUGUUGAGGAAGCUGGGGGAGUUCUAGGGCUUCUGUGAUUGGAAUUGAUCCGCACUGGCUUGAAUUCAUGAACUCUGGCUACUCCAUGACGAAGGGCUUAUAGGAAAUCAAGCUUAGGAGCUCCAGAGCGGGACUUAGACGAUCUCGCUGAGGGUGAGUGUUGGUGGGACACUGUUCUGUUUAUAAUUAGGUAAUAUGAAUUUUGAGUAUGGUAGAUGUAAUGGUUGUGAGGUAGUACUUUGGUACAUAUGGAAUGGAUGGUCUUUUUGCUUCUAUUGUAUGCAUUUAAAUUAUGUUAUGGAAAGAAUGUACCCGGGACCCCCUUUUGGGUUCGAGUUGUCACCAUUGUGGUAUCAGAGAUAUUGUGUUAUUAUAUGUGAAUAAAUGUAUUAUUGUUAUUAUGUUAA